rnacentral:rRNA from 1 species
CAAGACCUGCGCUUUUGGAGCGGCCGAUGCCCGAUUAGCUUGUUGGUAAGGUAAAAGCUUACCAAGGCUUCGAUCAGUAGCUGGUCUGAGAGGACGGCCAGCCACACUGGGACUGAGACACGGCCCAGACUCCUACGGGAGGCAGCAGUGGGGAAUUUUGGACAAUGGGGGCAACCCUGAUCCAGCCAUGCCGCGUGAGUGAAGAAGGCCUUCGGGUUGUAAAGCUCUUUCAGCCGGAACGAAACGGUUACGGUUAAUACCCGUGAUUACUGACGGUACCGGAAGAAGAAGCACCGGCUAACUACGUGCCAGCAGCCGCGGUAAUACGUAGGGUGCGAGCGUUAAUCGGAAUUACUGGGCGUAAAGCGUGCGCAGGUGGUUUUGUAAGUCAGAUGUGAAAGCCCCGGGCCCAACCUGGGAACU